rnacentral:lncRNA from 1 species
AUGAUAGAUACAGAACAGAGCAAGAAGCAUUACUGCAAAAGUAUUCUAUCAUAUUCUGUGCCCACAUUUAUUCAAAGUAAUUUUCAAAAGGUAGCGAUAUUCCAUUCAGGUUACCUGUUCUCUAUUUUUACUGCACAGCACACACUAGCCAAUGCUGCCCAUCUCUUUUCAGCUUUUCAAGCUAUCUGCACAAAUAUCAGCUACUGGUAUCAGCGAUCACAGCAACAACUCUGGUCUUUGAGCCACCCUUCAGGUUUUGCUGUCCAGCCUACACCCUUUGCAGCUGCACCCUUGGGUACCUCCCUGUCAGGCAAUCGAUCCCACAGAGAAGUUUCCCUUCUGCUUUUGAUGGAGGCGGGGGAAAUUUGGACAUGGGAGGUUUCACGGGUUUCAGGGGCGAUUUCUACAUCCCACAGGCAAAAGAGGUCUCCUGCACCUAGGAAGAACCUCAGGGAGGCCACGGGACUUCUCUGCCUUUAACAUUGUUGCUUUAAUGAGCAGUGUUAGGCUUAAAGAGUAACUUUUCAGAUUCUGCUUCAGGUUCUGAGGAGAGACAAACACACUGGAGAAGCAGGUACGUGCAUCAAGCUGGAAAGAAAGAUCCAUAGGUUUAUUUCACGUAGGUGGGAAGAAAAACAAGAAUAUUGCUGCUGCACUCUUAUGUAAGGAAGGAAAAGUACUUUAGUUAUAAAAAUAUCACAUCUGUGACCAAAUCAGAUGGGAAUAUUUCCUGUUAGGAAACAGGUGGGCAAAAAGCCUCACACCUAUUUCCUUUAAUCUCUGCCUAAAGGUUUUUGUGUUUUUUUGUUUUGUUUUGUUUUUGUGAGUGAUCAGUCUGGCACAAUGACAUUCUCCACAUUUAAAGUUACAUAUUUUUAUGUAUAACAUAACACAAUGAUGCAACCUUUUUGCAGUUCAGCUACAACAGAAUUCUCACAUUACAGAAAAUAAUCUUAUCCCAUUGCAAAGUUCAUCCUUUCUAAAUUGCUUUGCAGCCAUAUCAUAUGUAUAAAUAGCUUGACGUAGAGUGGGCAAAAAACAGGGAAACCAAAAUGAAGAAACCUAGACAGAAAGUUUCAGCGGGGUAACAGGAGUGUAACAUUCACAAAAACAUAUAUCAACUCCCGUUGGCUUUACUGGAUCAGGAAAAAUUCCUGUUCACCUCGCUGGAAAUUUUAACUUGAAAAAGGAUGGUGGGAUUGCUCUCACAGUUUUAAAUAACUGAAACAGAAAUGCCAACUCCACUGCCAAAUAAUAACCCAGAGACUUAAAAAAGCAGAGAACAUGAAACUUCCCGGGUUUCUUUGUUUUUCCCCCUAACUCUACAGAGUGGAUUUGCACAAAGGCAGUCUGCCCCAAAAGCCGUUGUUGCUUUCAGUAGGCCUUUGGUAUUCCAAAGAGACAGUACCUUCCUUUUGAUAUUCCCACCAAAAGUGAUCUUCGAUCGGAACCUGUUUAACUGGUAACCAUAGUAACACUG